CAUGGACUUCAUUUCAGAUUUAAUAGCUCCAAGCCACUUCUCAAAGUUAGAUCCUUGUAUGGCAUUCGUAUGGAAGAUUAGAUCCCCAUCCUAAAUCUAGAAACUGAAGUAUCUAUUCGACUGACAUGGUACUCUACUGUAUCUAUUCCAGGAUGCCUUUAUAUUGGGCUCCGAAUUUGAUCUAAUCAACUCCAGUUCUGUUGGUUCAUGUGUGUCAGUGUCGGUUCCUCUACCUAUCAAGCUUCUCCAAGCUUGCUCUUAACGGUAUC
rnacentral:lncRNA from 1 species